GAUGAACGCUGGCGGCGUGCCUAAUACAUGCAAGUCGAGCGAAUGGAUUAAGAGCUUGCUCUUAUGAAGUUAGCGGCGGACGGGUGAGUAACACGUGGGUAACCUGCCCAUAAGACUGGGAUAACUCCGGGAAACCGGGGCUAAUACCGGAUAACAUUUUGAACCGCAUGGUUCGAAAUUGAAAGGCGGCUUCGGCUGUCACUUAUGGAUGGACCCGCGUCGCAUUAGCUAGUUGGUGAGGUAACGGCUCACCAAGGCAACGAUGCGUAGCCGGCCUGAGAGGGUGUACGGCCACACGGGGACUGAGACACGGCCCAGACUCCUACGGGAGGCAGCAGUAGGGAAUCUUCCGCAAUGGACGAAAGUCUGACGGAGCAACGCCGCGUGGGUGAUGAAGGCUUUCGGGUCGUAAAACUCUGUUGUUAGGGAAGAACAAGUGCUAGUUGAAUAAGCUGGCACCUUGACGGUACCUAACCAGAAAGCCACGGCUAACUACGUGCCAGCCGCCGCCGUAA
rnacentral:rRNA from 1 species